GUGAGGAAUAUUGGUCAAUGGACGAGAGUCUGAACCAGCCAAGUCGCGUGAAGGAAGACGGUUCUAUGAAUUGUAAACUUCUUUUGUGCAGGAAUAAAGUGGGUUACGUGUAACCUUUUGUAUGUACUGUACGAAUAAGGAUCGGCUAACUCCGUGCCAGCAGCCGCGGUAAUACGGAGGAUCCGAGCGUUAUCCGGAUUUAUUGGGUUUAAAGGGUGCGUAGGUGGAUUGAUAAGUCAGCGGUGAAAGUUUGCAGCUUAACUGUAAAAUUGCCGUUGAAACUGUCGGUCUUGAGUGCAAAUGAGGUAGGCAGAAGGUGUUGUGUAGCGGUGAAAUGCUUAGAUAUAACACAGAACUCCGAUUGCGAAGGCAGCUUACUGGGAUGCAACUGACACUGAUGCACGAAAGCGUGGGUAUCAAACAGGAUUAGAAACCCCAGUAGUCC
rnacentral:rRNA from 1 species